GCCCAGUGAUGAGACCAAGGCGAAUAUGAGCUUACUGACUGAAAGUUGGGUCCUUCUUACCUUGAUUGGCAGGUAAUCUUGGCAGCGCAGGGGAGGAUUCCUGCUCUGCUGUAAGGGUCUGCCUACAGUGACUUAGCCUGACCCUCAUUACUUCUCUGAAGUCUCAGUGGAGUACUGUGGGUAGAAGCUGACAGUGUGUGUUGUGAGUGUGUGUACAUGUGUGUGUGAAAGGAAAGGAGUUCACCCAGCUCUCUUUAACGUUCAGUUAGCAGUGAGUUGCCUCUUUGGUAAUCUGAGGGCA